rnacentral:rRNA from 1 species
AGUGAACGCUGGCGGUAGGCCUAACACAUGCAAGUCGAACGGCAGCACAGAGGAGCUUGCUCCUUGGGUGGCGAGUGGCGGACGGGUGAGGAAUACAUCGGAAUCUACUCUGUCGUGGGGGAUAACGUAGGGAAACUUACGCUAAUACCGCAUACGACCUACGGGUGAAAGCAGGGGACCUUCGGACCUUGCGCGCUGGAAUGAGCCGAUGUCGGAUUAGCUAGUUGGCGGGGUAAAGGCCCACCAAGGCGACGGUCCGUAGCUGGUCUGAGAGGAUGAUCAGCCACACUGGAACUGGGACACGGUCCAGACUCCUACGGGAGGCAGCAGUGGGGAAUAUUGGACAAUGGGCGCAAGCCUGAUCCAGCCAUACCGCGUGGGUGAAGAAGGCCUUCGGGUUGUAAAGCCCUUUUGUUGGGAAAGAAAUCCAGCUGGCUAAUACCCGGUUGGGAUGACGGUACCCAAAGAAUAAGCACCGGCUAACUUCGUGCCAGCCGCCGCAGUAA